AGGGUUGCCAAACCGUAAGGUGGAGCUAAUCCCUUAAAGCUACUCUCAGUUCGGAUUGUAGGCUGAAACUCGCCUACAUGAAGCUGGAGUUACUAGUAAUCGCAGAUCAGAAUGCUGCGGUGAAUGCGUUCCCGGGUCUUGUACACACCGCCCGUCACACCACGGGAGUUGGAGACGCCCGAAGCCGAUUAUCUAACCUUUUGGAAGAAGUCGUCGAAGGUGGAAUCAAUAACUGGGGUGAAGUCGUAACAAGGUAGCCGUAUCGGAAGGUGCGGCUGGAUC
rnacentral:rRNA from 1 species